rnacentral:tRNA from 1 species
CAGAUUUUAGGUUAAUAAUUUAUUUACAAUAAAAUUUUUGGUUGUUCAAUUCAAUCAUUUCUGA